AACGAACGCUGGCGGCAGGCCUAACACAUGCAAGUCGAGCGCCCAGCAAUGGGAGCGGCGGACGGGUGAGUAACGCGUGGGAAUUUUUCCUGGAGUACGGAACAACCGAGGGAAACUUCGGCUAAUACCGUAUGAUGUCUAGCGACCAAAGAUUUAUCGCUCUGGGGUAAGCCCGCGUCAGAUUAGGUAGUUGGUGGGGUAACGGCCUACCAAGCCUGCGAUCUGUAGCUGGUCUGAGAGGACGAUCAGCCACACUGGGACUGAGACACGGCCCAGACUCCUACGGGAGGCAGCAGUGGGGAAUCUUGCGCAAUGGGCGAAAGCCUGAUCCAGCGAUGCCGCGUGGGUGAUGAAGGCCUUGGUUGUAA
rnacentral:rRNA from 1 species